rnacentral:ncRNA from 1 species
GGUACGAAAUGGCACGGCUGGCGUAGCCAGCUUCGCAAAGCUUCGGGUCCGGACGCUCAGGAGGAGUGGCGGGCGGCCGGGUUACCUCA